GCCCGGGGGCGGGCCAGCUGCCGCGGGGACGCCGGCUCCGAAUGGCCUCAGGCGGUCCGAGUGGUCCCCGGCCGCGUAGCCCCGCCACGUUCGGCUGGCGACUUUGUGUCCUGAUUGCGUGCAGAGCUUGACGGGCCGUGAAUAAAACAGGCCCAGCGCCGACGGGUGAGCCGGCGUGAGGAGCCGGGCCUCGCUGGCCUGCCGCCGGCGGGACUGGGCUGGUUGGCAGCGCCCCGAGCCUGCGUUGGCGGCCCCCGCGUUGCGUGUUGCCUGGAGGCUCCUUGGGAAGGCGUCACCGGUUGUCGCUGGAGAGCUGCGCGGUGCCUCCGGCGCUGCCCGUCAGCCCACCGCUUCCCGGGCCCACCCAGGCUCGCUGUCCUCAGUCGCCGCCUCCGGGGCGCCCACCGGGAGUCCAGGCCUGGAGGUUGUCCCCCAGAUGUCCACAGCACUGCACCUGUUUGCACUCUCCCCAGCGUGUGAGUUCCCAUUGCACUGGGUAUCUCAUCAUGUUAAAAAGGACACACGUGCCAUUCGCCUCCCAUGGCUGCUGGAGCAGAGUACCGCACGCAGGGUGGCUUAGAACCACAGGAAUUCAUCUCCCAGUUCUGGGGCCGGAAUUCCUGGGUCAGGUGAGCAGGGCUGUGCCCCCUCUGGGGGCUCUGGGAAAGGGUCUUUUCUGUCUCUCCAGCAGCUGGGGGCUCUGAGCGCCCCUGGGCUUGUGGCUGCAUCCCCCCCAUCUCUGCCUCCUCCGCUCACAGGCUCUUGGAUUGAGUGUGGGCAUCUCUUUCCGGGCCAGUCAACCUGCUGCGGUGCAGCAGGUGUCUGAGGAGGACUGUCUGAGGGGUCUGUCCCUCCUCUCCCUGGCCCGUGGGUGACAGUCGGCUCUGGGGGGCUAGGCUCCGUGGGCUCCCCAUCAGGCCUCGCCACAUACAGCCUUAGGUGCGAGAGCCGGGUGCAGGCAUGCUCCAAGGGCGCAGAGAAGUGCCCUUCAAAGGAACACAUGCGACCCCACUGCUGCCUCCAGGAUGUGGACACGUCCAUCGAUGGCCCGUCUCCAAGUGCCAUCCUGUGCCCACCGGAUUUCUCCGAGCUGAGUCAAGCAGAUGGUUUGCCAGAAUCUCGGAGUGGCUUCUCCCAUGAGCCACUCCCACUCCCGUGUCAUGGGGGCUGGGGCCCUUACUCGGGAGGUUCCUGCCGUUCCUGCAGAGCCGUGGUUCUGGAGUGAGGAAUCACAGUGGGUAGCUUUUCUGAGCAGUCUGUGGCUUUGCUGGCCUCACUCACUGCUGCCCUAAACCUGUUGAGGGAUGGAUUGUGUCCCCCAAAGAGGACACACAUCCUAGCCCUGGCCUCCGGUCCCCGAGAACGGACCUUAUUUGGAAAUAGGGUCUCUGGAGCAGCCAUGGUGCAAUGCCUGGUGUCUUUGCAUGUGGGACCGUCACACAGGGAAACAGGGGUCCCUGCAGGGAGGUGCCCAGCACCCCCAGCAGCUGGAGCCUCGAGGGAGCAUGGUCCUGCCCCGGCUGACCUGGGACUUCUGGACCCCAACUGAGCACACAUGGGGCUUCAGGCCACCCACCUGCCCCUUGUGUGGAACUGCCACACGUGCCCCGGGAGACUUGCACACCCACCGUGAGCCCCAUGCUCCCAGGCCUUCAACAAGCUGACCCUGGUGGGGAGACACCAGGGGCCACCGUUCCUCCGUCAGUGGGCAGGGAGAGCUGGGGACAGCUGGCUCAUCACACGUCAUGCUGAUAGCCACAGUGCCGUCGUAUACAGGGCAGGCCUCUGAGACUUAAAAGAGGAUCAUUUGAAGUCCCGAAGAAUCCAGCCAGCUGUGUUGAUGCUUGUAUAAAAUUAAGUUUCCUUUUAAAAAGGUUUUCAAAAACCAGUAAUCUUGAGGCACUCAGCACAAUCUCCCAGGCUGGACUAACCUUGUCAUGUGUGGGGCUCAAGUUACACGUGUAAAACACGGUUCAGCACCUGCAGGCCUGGGGGCACACGGGCUCCGCGUUCCCUGCCCUUCAGACCUGGAGGGCAAGACCAGAAGCAGAGUAACGGGGAAACUGAGGCAGGCUCCCCGAGAGAGACAAGCCCCACAGACAGGGAGGUCGCUGGGGGCACGACCCAGGUGAUCCAAGGGCCUGCCUGAUGCCUGGGGUUCCCUCACGCUUCCCAAGUGCCCGGUUCCAUGCAGCCAGUCUGGGGGCCCAUCAGGCCUCUACAUGUGGGCGGGGAUUAAAAAGAAAACAAGCCCCUAGGCAGCCUGACCCCACACCUGAGUGACGGAGUGACCAGCAGUUUGUUUUCCUGGGCCUCCAGGUGAAACCUAGGGCAGAUCCGGGCAGCCCAGCUGAGCUGGACCCCCUGGCAACACAGGGAGCCCAGCCUGAAGGAGCAGCCAGUGUGGGUCUGGGGGUCCGUGGCAGUUCCUGCUGGGAGGGCGUCACCUCCCUGCAGGUGUUCCCUCCCACUUAGGCCAGCGUAUCCUGGUGAGAGGAUGGGGCUCAUCCUGCGGCCAGCCAAGCCAAGAAGACCCCUAACACGUGGAAAACCCGAGACACUGCCUGCCCCCUUCUGUGCGGCCAACCGCGUGGGGCGGGGCAUCGUCAGGGUUACGUUGGUCUUUUAAUAUGACUUUUAAUAAUCUGGUCGAUCAUGAAAUGCAACGCUCAGUUCUAUAAACAGCAGCAGAAAUAGCAAGAGACACGAGACUUUUAUACAAAAAAAUUUGUUGCUUACAAAACAUAUGCAAAAAAAGCUAAAAAACACAAACGGGAGACCAAAGGCAUCUUCCUUGCUAGUUUCCUAAUACAUUAAAAAAAAAAUCUUGUAACUAAUGUUCUUUUAAUCUUCCUUAAGAAAAAUAUCAGGCAUAGGCACGAUUUGCUGGUGGCUUCUCAACGACAAGCCAGUCCUGCAGAGCAUCUCCCUCCAGCGAACAAUAUGUUUUGACUUCCACAUUUUAUACUUAAGGCAUUUUUUUCUCUUCCGACAAAGUGAAUGUUUCUUGCUUGCUUUCCGGUUUUGCUU